AUUGAACGCUGGCGGCAGGCCUAACACAUGCAAGUCGAACGGUAACAGGAAGAAGCUUGCUUCUUUGCUGACGAGUGGCUGACGGGUGAGUAAUGUCUGGGAAACUGCCUGAUGGAGGUGGAUAACUACUGGAAACGGUAGCUAAUACCGCAUAAUGUCGCAAGACCAAAAAGGGGGCCCUUCGGGCCUCUUGCCAUCGGAUGUGCCCAGAUGGGAUUAGCUAGUAGGUGGGGUAACGGCUCACCUAGGCGACGAUCCCUAGCUGGUCUGAGAGGAUGACCAGCCACACUGGAACUGAGACACGGUCCAGACUCCUACAGGGAGCAGCAGUGGGGAAUAUUGCACGAUGGGCGCAAGCCGGAUGCAGCCAUGCCGCGUGUAUGAAGAAGGCCUUCGGGUUGUAAAGUACUUUCAGCGGGGAGGAAGGGAGUAAAGUUAAUACCUUUGCUCAUUGACGUUACCCGCAGAAGAAGCACCGGCUAACUCCGUG
rnacentral:rRNA from 1 species